AUCCAGCUGACAAGUCCCAAACAGGACGAAAAACUCAUCAAAUUGGAU
rnacentral:hammerhead_ribozyme from 1 species